UUCUGGCUCAGGAUGAACGCUGGCGGCGUGCCUAACACAUGCAAGUCGAACGGAGUAAUUAAGCGGAAGUUUCGGAUGGAAGCAUAGUACUAGUGGCGGACGGGUGAGUAACGCGUGGGCAACCUGCCCUGUACCGGGGGAUAACACUUAGAAAUAGGUGCUAAUACCGCAUAAGCGCACAGCUUCGCAUGAAGGUGUGUGAAAAACUCCGGUGGUACAGGAUGGACCCGCGUCUGAUUAGCUAGUUGGUGGGGUAGAGGCCUACCAAGGCGACGAUCAGUAGCCGGCCUGAGAGGGUGACCGGCCACAUUGGGACUGAGACACGGCCCAAACUCCUACGGGAGGCAGCAGUGGGGAAUAUUGCACAAUGGGGGAAACCCUGAUGCCAGCGACGCCGCGUGAGUGAAGAAGUAUUUCGGUAUGUAAAGCUCUAUCAGCAGGGAAGAAAAUGACGGUACCUGACUAAGAAGCCCCGGCUAACUACGUGCCAGCCGCCGC
rnacentral:rRNA from 1 species